GUAGGUGGGCAAGCGUUGUCCGGAAUUAUUGGGCGUAAAGCGCGCGCAGGCGGUCCUUUAAGUCUGAUGUGAAAGCCCACGGCUCAACCGUGGAGGGUCAUUGGAAACUGGGGGACUUGAGUACAGAAGAGGAAAGCGGAAUUCCAAGUGUAGCGGUGAAAUGCGUAGAGAUUUGGAGGAACACCAGUGGCGAAGGCGGCUUUCUGGUCUGUAACUGACGCUGAGGCGCGAAAGCGUGGGGAGCAAACAGGGUUAGAUACCCUGGUAGUCCACGCCGUAAACGAUGAGUGCUAAGUGUUAGGGGGUUUCCGCCCCUUAGUGCUGCAGCUAACGCAUUAAGCACUCCGCCUGGGGAGUACGGCCGCAAGGCUG
rnacentral:rRNA from 1 species